AUGGAAGCUCUGCUGCUUUUCCUUGCUCUGCUCGCCGCCCCCAGCUGUGUCCUCUCCCAGGUGCAGCUGGUCCAGUCCGGCCCGGGGUCGGUGAAGCCCGGAGAGACCCUCACCCUGAGCUGCGCUGUCUCUGGGUUUUCUGUUAGUACCGGCGGCUACGACUGGCACUGGAUCCGGCAGCCCCCUGGGAAAGGGCUUGAAUGGAUGGGCCGGGUAUAUCCAUACAGCAGCGGGGCCACAAACUACGCCCCGUCUCUCCAGGGCCGAGUCACCAUCUCUGCAGACACCGCCAAGAACCAGUUCUCGCUGCAGCUCCGCUCGCUGACAGCUGCAGACACCGCCGCUUAUUACUGCGCCAGGGGAGACACAGUGACACAGCGCAACGCAGGGCCUGGUGGGAGCACAAGCUACAACCCGUCCCUGCAAGGCCGCAUCACCAUCACCGUGGAUUCUUCCAGCACCAAGUAUUAUCUGCUGCUCAGCUCGCUGACAGCUGCAGACACCGCCAUGUAUUUCUGUGCCAGAGACACAGUGACACGGAGCGAAGCAGGGUCUGGCAGAAAAAGGGGAAGCGGAUUCUGA